CCACUACCACCCCACAAUACCUGCAUCAAUGGAUAGAGCUCCUCAAGACCUAGCUAUUGAUGCCAAUUUCACCCUGAAAAUCCGGCGACCUCCUCGAACACCCUCUUUUGGCAUACCACCAUUUUUUCGGCCACUUGAAUUGUAAAAUGGUAAUCCUUUAAGACUCGUAAUGUACGUAUUUUCAGCAAUGGGAACAACUUGAACAUGCUGCACCAUUUAAAUGUGUUUGAUGUGAUGAAUAGUUUGACAACAAAAGAGCUUGUAUGUUAUUGUUAUGUAUCAAGCAUGUGAUAAUGUGAAUAUAGUCCUUCAUAAUACUUGAAUAUUGAGUUGUAAGUUUUUGAAUGUGAUAUGUAAGUCGUUUAUGGAUUUUUUAAGCA